UGGGGAAUAUUGGACAAUGGGCGAAAGCCUGAUCCAGCCAUGCCGCGUGUGUGAAGAAGGCCCUCGGGUUGUAAAGCACUUUCAGUGGGGAAGAAGGCCUCGGGAUUAAUACUUCCGAGGAAGGACAUCACCCACAGAAGAAGCACCGGCUAACUCCGUGCCAGCAGCCGCGGUAAUACGGAGGGUGCGAGCGUUAAUCGGAAUUACUGGGCGUAAAGCGCGCGUAGGCGGUCUGAUCAGCCGGUUGUGAAAGCCCCGGGCUCAACCUGGGAACGGCAUCCGGAACUGUCAGGCUAGAGUGCAGGAGAGGAAGGUAGAAUUCCCGGUGUAGCGGUGAAAUGCGUAGAGAUCGGGAGGAAUACCAGUGGCGAAGGCGGCCUUCUGGACUGACACUGACGCUGAGGUGCGAAAGCGUGGGUAGCAAACA
rnacentral:rRNA from 1 species